AGUAGCUCAGAGGUAGAGCGGCGGCCUUAUAAGCCGAAGAUCGAAGGUCCGAUUCCUUCCUG
rnacentral:tRNA from 1 species